AGUGAACGCUGGCGGUAGGCCUAACACAUGCAAGUCGAACGGCAGCACAGUAAGAGCUUGCUCUUACGGGUGGCGAGUGGCGGACGGGUGAGGAAUACAUCGGAAUCUACUUUUUCGUGGGGGAUAACGUAGGGAAACUUACGCUAAUACCGCAUACGACCUACGGGUGAGAGCAGGGGAUCUUCGGACCUUGCGCGAUUGAAUGAGCCGAUGUCGGAUUAGCUAGUUGGCGGGGUAAAGGCCCACCAAGGCGACGAUCCGUAGCUGGUCUGAGAGGAUGAUCAGCCACACUGGAACUGAGACACGGUCCAGACUCCUACGGGAGGCAGCAGUGGGGAAUAUUGGACAAUGGGCGCAAGCCUGAUCCAGCCAUACCGCGUGGGUGAAGAAGGCCUUCGGGUUGUAAAGCCCUUUUGUUGGGAAAGAAAAGCAGCAGGUUAAUACCCCGCUGUUCUGACGGUACCCAAAGAAUAAGCACCGGCUAACUUCGU
rnacentral:rRNA from 1 species